UCAGGAAAGUCUCUACAGAAAAAAGUGCACUUUCUUACCUCAUGUGCUUUCUGAUGCAUAUGUAGGAUGUUGGCAUUCCUGGGACCCAGGAAGUAACAAUUUUCUUUCCAGUCUGAAUCUUGAACCAAUUGAGAAGUAAGAUUAAGACUAAGACAGAGCUGGUUAUCUAUCUAUCUAUAUAUAAAGAAGAUAAUCAAUAAAAUAAUAAAAAAUAAAAAAAGACAGAGUCAGGGGGCCAGUGUAGCUCAGUGGUUGAGCGCCUGCUUUGCAGGUACCAGUUCAAUCCCUGCUACCUCUAAAGGGAAUAAAAAGAUAGAUGGGGCCAAAUAUCACUUAUAUUAGUGAUAAAGUUUUAAUCAGAGAAUGUGGUUUAUUCUUGUGGGCAAAUGGGUUCUCUAACACUGGACCCCAGGAUUAGAGAGACCUGUUCCUGAUGGUGCAGGAGCCAGGUGGUCCAAGGCCAGAGCAAUGGACUUCCAGGCUCUUUGCAGGUGGGCAGGUGUGCUGGCAAAAGAAGAGAGGCGGGUGGUGCAUGCCAUGUAAUUUCUUUUUUUUUUUUUUUUUUUUGUUUUCAAAUUCCAACUUUUUAAUCAGCUCCAUGAAGGACAUCCUAAACACUAUGAGACACAACAGAAUAUUUCUUUCUUCCAGUAUUAAAAAAGAUGACAUUCACAAACAUUUUAAAGAAGCUCUUCUAUAUAAUCAGGGUGGUAGUCAGAUGGCUGCAGCAUCCACAGUCAAUGCCAGAGGAACCUUUCGAGAUGGUGGCCCUUUCCCAUCAAAAAGUGGAGUCAGUCCUUCCUGAUAAACCUGGGUGGAUUUUAUAACUGCCUCAACCAAUAGAAUGAGGGUAAGUGAUGCCAAAUGAUUUCCAAGGCUAAGUCCUAAAAGGAAAUGUGCUUCAGCCUGUCUCCUGGAAGGCAGGCACCAUGCUGGGAGGAUGGCAGGUCACAGGGAGUGGCCACAUGUGGAUAUUUUGGCCAAUAGCCUCACUCACGCUCUCAGCGAAUGACUUUUGCAUCAGCCACCAGAUGGCGCCUUCAGAUAAUUCCAUCACCCAGCUUUCUGGUCCUCUCCGACAUCAUGGAGCUGGCACAAGCCAUCUCUGGGGUGCGCUGUCUGAAUUCCUGUCCCACAGAAACUGUGAGAAAUAACAGAUGAUUACAGUUGUUUAACCUACGAAGUCUUGGAGUAAUUUGUUCUGGUGGAAUAGAAAAUGCACAAAACAAACAUUUUUAAAAACAGUUUCUGCAAGGCAAAAGCCAGAAAAAUAGAAUGAAAAAUGACAAGCUGGAAAAAAAUUUGCUACACAUAUCACAGAACAAAAGACUGAUCUUCCUAACAUAAAGAGCUCCAACAACUCAAUAAAAACAAGAACCCAAUGGGGAAGUUGAUAAGGGGCACAAAUUUACAGGACAUGUCUCCUAACCAUUUGAAAACAUUGAAAACAUGAGAUCCCUCACUCAUCAUUAUAGAAAUGCAAAAUCUUAAAAUCUCCCUGCAUACACUGCUCUUUCCUACAUACUGAGUAUACUUCUCUUUGUAAUGUUUAGCUAGAUGCAUGGUCUAUAUUUAUAGUGGCUUACUUUGCAAAAUAUUGUUCACUGCUGAGUGAAGUCAUGUGUAAUGAUUAUGUCUCUCUUCUUUUACAUUUUGUUUUUCCUGAGCUCAUUCAUAGUUUUUUCAUUUCCUUAGUUUGCUAUAUACACAUGGCUGAUUUUUCCAAGUGUUCCAAUGGCUCAGCUAUAUAUCUAUCAUGGUCCAUAGCAUACAUUUGGCACACUUUUCCCAUAUACCGCCAUUACCAACACAGUACAGCUUUGGCAUUGAUGCAAUAUCAAUGUAUUGCUGUAAACCACAGUCUAUAGGUCACAUCAAUUGUAGUUUUCCCAUGCUUCUCCAUAUUCCCAUCACCAUGCAACAGUGAUGUACAUCUGCUUUAGCUCACAGAAGGACUCCCUUGCAUUUGUACCCUUAACCACAGUUCUCAACUGCCUCUGGAUUCACUGUGUUCUUCAGUUCAUAGAUUAUUCUUUAGCUUUCUUUCUAUUGACAUUUACUUCCCCAGACUACCUUUUUCAGCCAAAAUUCCAUUUAUAAACCAGUUGCUACUCACUAUAAUGUGUUACUAUCAACUCUAUCCAUCUCCACACUUUUACAGUCAAGUUAACUAAAACUUCUAUAUACAUUAAGCAUCUGUAGUUCUUCUCAACCCUCCUCUUAUCUCCUAAUAACCUAUGCUCUAGGUUUUAAUUCCAUGUGUUUACUGUUUCUAUUUAGCUCAUAUUAAUGAGACCAUGCAAUAUUUGUCCUUUUGUGUCUGUC
ensembl:lincRNA